CGGGACCCACACACCACCAGCCGACCCUCCCCGCCCCCCCCGCCUCCCCCCCAGAGCAGCCCGCGAUCCCAGCCCCGAGAGAGGACUCGCAUUUCGACUUGCGGGACACUUUUGUGCGUUUCUCUCUCGAGCGCCUCUCGCGCUCGCCCCUCCUGCGCUCGCUCUUUCUUACCCUCACCUCCUUUUCUCCUCUUCUCUCCCUCUUCCCAACUAGGGUUCUUUCCUAGAGUGCUUGUUGUCUCUGCCCCCCCCUCGAUCCUUGUCCCCCUUUCUCCCCCUUCCCCUCUGGGGGGUGUGUGGCAACUUUUCCCCCUCGCUUCUCCUCCUUCUGUUUCCCCUUAUAUGUGACCAUGGCAGUGCCGGCGG
rnacentral:lncRNA from 1 species